UUGAAUUCACCGGAUGUUUAUUUCCAGAAGAAAAGUAUAAACAAACACGACGAUAGCCUAAAAACGAAGUUUGUUUCCAGUCUUACUGAAGAAGAUCGACUUACUUCAAGUUACCGACGAAUGAAUAUCAGCUUUCUCGUUGUUUUUGACGACCGAUGCAUAUUUUUACCGACAAACAUCGUUACGAGACAGGGGUUUUGAUGAUUAAUUUAUCACAGAUUACACGGCCGAAGGAAACGCAGUACCGAUCCAUGUGUUACAAUCAGACUGAGUCUUCAUGCAGUACAUUCUGGAAUGAGGAACACCGCAUGCAUUAAUUGUGGUCCAAAUUGAUGGCAUUGACUUAACACAAAGCAGAAAGGAAUGCAGAGAAAUGAAGAAGUUUAUGUUUCACAUUAAUUAAGAUUAUUCGAGAUAUAUGUUAUCUGUUGAGGUAUACAACAUUUCCUUUCAUAAUAAAAGUGUAAACAUUAAUAUAUAUACCCAAAA